GCUAAAGAUAUAAGAGCCCUUCUGAUUACCUCCUCCCUUCCUAGUUGGGGGAAGAAAUGAGGCUAACUAGGAUAAGCUUCUCUCCUUUUGGCUGGGAGGAGGAGACAAGAUCAUCUUCAUUCUUGAGUAUGAGAAAAGAAGGCUGCUGAUUUGAGGUGAAAUCAACAGCCCCUCCUGUUUCAUUCAUGAACAUACAAGGAUCACCCCAUGCUGCAGCGUCAUAUCUGCUACACAAUGACUGGCACCAUUUUUCAUUUCUCUGCAAUCUUCUCAAAGCCUCUGUUAUGCCUUGGUGUGCUACAAUUAUUCAAGGAAAAGUGAUAGAGGCUGAGAAGAAACCUCCCAAAGAGAGUGUUGAUUUCCCUGUUUUAGUACCAGAGGCUGUAUUAGUCAUGGAUUGAUCAUGGAUUGGGUGGUACAAGCAAGCACUAAAAUUGUAGUAGUGUGGGCAGAUAGGCACCAUAGUCUUUAUUUAAAU
rnacentral:lncRNA from 1 species